UACGAAGGGUGCAAGCGUUACUCGGAAUUACUGGGCGUAAAGGGUGCGUAGGUGGUUUGUUAAGUCUGCUGUGAAAUCCCCGGGCUCAACCUGGGAAUGGCAGUGGAUACUGGCAAGCUAGAGUGCGGUAGAGGGUAGUGGAAUUCCCGGUGUAGCAGUGAAAUGCGUAGAGAUCCGGAAGAACACCAGUGGCGAAGGCGGCCCGCUGGGCAGUGGCUGACGCUGAGGCGCGACAGCGUGGGGAGCAAACAGG
rnacentral:rRNA from 1 species